AGUGAACGCUGGCGGUAGGCCUAACACAUGCAAGUCGAACGGCAGCACAGUAAGAGCUUGCUCUUACGGGUGGCGAGUGGCGGACGGGUGAGGAAUACAUCGGAAUCUACUUUUUCGUGGGGAUAACGUAGGGAAACUUACGCUAAUACCGCAUACGACCUACGGGUGAAAGCAGGGGAUCUUCGGACCUUGCGCGAUUGAAUUAGCCGAUGUCGGAUUAGCUAGUUGGCGGGGUAAAGGCCCACCAAGGCGACGAUCCGUAGCUGGUCUGAGAGGAUGAUCAGCCACACUGGAACUGAGACACGGUCCAGACUCCUAAGGGAGGCAGCAGUGGGGAAUAUUGGACAAUGGGCGCAAGCCUGAUCCAGCCAUACCGCGUGGGUGAAGAAGGCCUUCGGGUUGUAAAGCCCUUUUGUUGGGAAAGAAAAGCAGCAGGUUAAUACCCCGCUGUUCUGACGGUACCCAAAGAAUAAGCACCGGCUAACUUCGUG
rnacentral:rRNA from 1 species